rnacentral:rRNA from 1 species
UACGUAGGGGGCAAGCGUUGUUCGGAAUUACUGGGCGUAAAGGGCGCGUAGGCGGCACGGCAAGUCGGGAGUGAAAGCCCGGGGCUCAACCCCGGAGGGUCUUCCGAAACUGCCGAGCUAGAGUGCGGAAGAGGCAACCGGAAUUCCCAGUGUAGCGGUGAAAUGCGUAGAUAUUGGGAAGAACACCAAAGGCGAAGGCGGGUUGCUGGGCCGACACUGACGCUGAGGCGCGAAAGCCAGGGGAGCAAACGGG